GCAGUUGCCUCGAGCUGGUACAGAUCGUGUUUGGAGAUGGAAGCUAACUCUUGCAGUUCGCUUUGGAGAGGGAAACAUGAAGCCCGGCUCUGCAUAAAUAGCGGGUUGCAUGCCCGUGAUGCUGCAAUUACAAACUGGGUAAAGCCUCCAUCUUUCUUAUUUCUUCUCAAUGGAUUUCGAUCAACCGAAACACCCACUAAGAUUUCCGAAUUUAUUUCUUUGCUGCUGCAAAUUUGGUGUGGCAAUUGGACAAACUGCUAUUGCGGCAACUUGUCAAUCAGCUGGUGUACAAAGAGCUUGCGACCCAUUUUUUUGGGUUUCCAUUAUUUCACCACCGCCAAGCUUUGUCAUGCAAUUUUGUUUGAAACGUGGUCGUAAAGGAUGAGACUUUGAGAGACAGAAUUUUGUUCGUCUCAGUUUCUAUUUGCUGACUAUAGCUUCGACAUUGGCUUCAAGGAAUAUUUGUGUGAUGGUCAUGACCAUCCAUGACUUUGGCUGUUCAUGAACAACCUCCGUUAAAGCAAUAACAGCGUCAUCGUUUGGGGGAAUUUAGCAGCUGGGUUGUUCAUGAACAACCAAAUAUUUCAAUGCAUUAAGCUUGCGACACCAUUUGGGAGGGAUUUUGAGCAUGAAACUCGGCUGUUCAUGAACAACCGCUCUUGUUUCAAUGCUUCAGGCCUCGGAGCAUUUGGGAGUAGCAAGAACAUCAUUUCGAUGAGCUUAGGAGAACUCUAAUAAUUGUGGUCGUUCAUGAACAGCCUAUUAGAGUUUUGGAGGGCCACAAGACAUAUGAGGAUCACUUGGAGAAGGUUGUAUCACAGGGAAGCCAGACUUGUUUUUCCUCCUUUUCCUCUUUCCGCUCUCUGUAUUUCUGCUCUGUAACUUUUUCUCCUAUGUUGCCCCUGUAUCUUUGUAUUUCUCUUCCCCCUCUGUCUAUUUCUUUUCACGUUGCCACCUUUAUAUAGCAGUAGUUGGAUAAGUGUAGCUGGGUAGCUGAUAACCCUUUCCAACUUUGUAUUUGAAUUUGAAUGAUAAGUUUAUCUCCAGCUGUUAUCUUCA